CGGCACGGGUGAGUAACACGUAGGUAAUGUGCCUUUGGGUGGGGAAUAACUUAGGGAAACUUAAGCUAAUACCGCAUAAUGCGAUAACUUCUUCGGAAGAUUUUGUUAAAGAUUUAUCGCCUGAAGAGCAGCCUGCGGCAGAUUAGCUAGUUGGUAAGGUAACGGCUUACCAAGGCUACGAUCUGUAUCCGACCUGAGAGGGUGGUCGGACACACUGACACUGAAUAACGGGUCAG
rnacentral:rRNA from 1 species